rnacentral:sRNA from 2 species
CCCUACCUACCUGCUCGAUAUCGGAUCGAUUGCUAAUCGAAUAGAGAAUGCUAGCUAUCUAUCUGUCUACCUAUCUACCUACCUACCUACCAGCCAACCUUCCUGCUCAAUAUCCAAUCAAUCUCUCUGAGAAUAAACAUCACCAUCUAGCUGCCCACCUAUCAAUGCUAGCUUACUAGCUGACUAUCUGACCACCUGCCUAUCUAUCUUCUGACCUGCUAGAAAGAACGACAUCCACUGAUGAUAUCUAUCGACGAUAUCUAGCGACGUGACUUCACGCUUUCGCUCCGUCCCUCCCAGCUGCAUGUUUCAUGAAGCUCCUGCUAUAAAGUGUUGUGCCUGAGCUGUUCAACCCUUUGAAGUAAUUAAUGAUGUCUUUCAUCCCCUGGGAUUUAGAUGUUCAUUUGCUCACCCCCCAGAAGAAGGGUGAUAGAGAAGAUGAUAAAUAAUAGGAAAAUUAGCAAGGAGUACAAUAAAAAGUAGAUAGUAGUUAAUCACUAAGAGAAGAAAGAGAAGAGAAAGAAGAUGUAAGUAGAUGUGAGAAUAUAUAUAUAUAGAAAUAAUUGCAGUGAGAACAUAAUAAGGGAAGAAUAAACAAAG